UGAGCAAUCUGCCCUUCUCUUUGGAAUAAGCGUUGGAAACGACGUCUAAUGCCGAAUACGACCUCCUUUCGCAUGAUCGGAGGUGGAAAGCUCCGGCGGAGAAGGAUGAGCUCGCGGCCUAUCAGCUAGUUGGUGUGGGUAAUGGCCCACCAAGGCGACGACGGGUAGCUGGUCCGAGAGGAUGACCAGCCACAGUUGGGACUGAGACACCGGCCCAGACCUCCGUAGG
rnacentral:rRNA from 1 species